rnacentral:misc_RNA from 1 species
AACUUUUGGCAAUGGAUCACUUGGCUCUCGCAUCGAUGAAAAACGCUGCGAAAUGCGAUACGUAAUGUGAAUUGCAAAAUUCAGUGAAUCGUCGAAUCUUUGAACGCAUAUUGCGCUCUUUGCUAUUCUGAAGAGCAUGCUUCUUUGAGUAUCAGUAAACACCUCAAACCCUUUUCGUUGUUGGAAAGGCUUUGGACCUGAGCAAUCCCAACACCAAUCUUUUUUAAAGAUCGGGGGCGGGUUGCUUGAAAUGCAGGCGCAGCUGGACUUUCUCCUGAGCUAAAAGCAUAUUCAUUAUUACUUUUGCUGCAGCUAACAUAAAGGGAGAUUGACCGUAUUGGCUGACUGAUGCAGGAUUUCACAAGAGUCGAUCUCAAAUCAAGUAAGACUACCCGCUGAACUUAAGCAUAUCAAUAAGCGGAGGCU